rnacentral:snRNA from 1 species
GUGCUUGCUUCGGCAGCACAUAUACUAAAAUUGGAACGAGAAGAUUAGCAUGGCCCCUGCUCAAGGAUGACAUGCAAAUUCGUGAAGCGUUCCAUAUUUUC